CGAGGAGCUUGAUGAGGCUGGAGUGGUGGGAUUUAGAGAUGAGGGAGAGGCGGUGGUGGAGGUCGGGGAGGGAGAGGGGGAGGCGGGACUUGCGCUGGAAGACGACGGCGUCUUCGGAGCGGAUGGAGCAGCGCCAGGAGGAGGAGGUGGAGGAGGAGGAGAGGCGGCGGUGGGGGAGGAAGUUGGAGGUGGCGGAGCGGAUCUCGGAGAGGUCGUAGAUUUGGGGAUUUUGAGGGAGGGAGGAUUUAAGGGAUUUGAGGGAGGCGACGGAGGAGGAGGUGGAGGAUUUGGAGAAGUUAUAGCUGGAGUUGUCGAUGCUGGUGCUGAAAAUGGCGGAGCAGGGGUCGGGGAAUGAUGAGGAGGAGGAUUUUCGGUGUUUGAUGGGGCUCUUGGGCUCAAUCGCCUGCGCGCUCUUUUUG
rnacentral:lncRNA from 1 species